rnacentral:rRNA from 1 species
GACGAACGCUGGCGGCGUGCCUAAUACAUGCAAGUCGAGCGAAUCUGAUGGGAGCUUGCUCCUUGAUGAUUAGCGGCGGACGGGUGAGUAACACGUGGGUAACCUGCCUGUAAGACUGGGAUAACUCCGGGAAACCGGGGCUAAUACCGGAUAACUUUUUUCUUCGCAUGAGGGAGAAUUGAAAGAUGGCUUCGGCUAUCACUUACAGAUGGACCCGCGGCGCAUUAGCUAGUUGGUGAGGUAACGGCUCACCAAGGCGACGAUGCGUAGCCGACUUGAGAGGGUGAUCGGCCACACUGGGACUGAGACACGGCCCAGACCCCUACGGGAGGCAGCAGUAGGGAAUCUUCCGCAAUGGACGAAAGUCUGACGGAGCAACGCCGCGUGAGUGAUGAAGGUUUUCGGAUCGUAAAACUCUGUUGUUAGGGAAGAACAAGUAUCGUUCGAAUAGGGCGGUACCUUGACGGUACCUAACCAGAAAGCCACGGCUAACUACGUG